rnacentral:rRNA from 1 species
AUUGAACGCUGGCGGCAUGCUUUACACAUGCAAGUCGAACGGCAGCGCGGGCUUCGGCCUGGCGGCGAGUGGCGAACGGGUGAGUAAUGCAUCGGAACGUGCCCAGUAGUGGGGGAUAGCGCGGCGAAAGCCGGAUUAAUACCGCAUACGACCUGAGGGUGAAAGCGGGGGACCGAAAGGCCUCGCGCUAUUGGAGCGGCCGAUGUCGGAUUAGCUAGUUGGUGGGGUAAAGGCUUACCAAGGCGACGAUCCGUAGCUGGUCUGAGAGGACGACCAGCCACACUGGGACUGAGACACGGCCCAGACUCCUACGGGAGGCAGCAGUGGGGAAUUUUGGACAAUGGGGGCAAGCCUGAUCCAGCCAUGCCGCGUGCGGGAAGAAGGCCUUCGGGUUGUAAACCGCUUUUGUUCGGGAAGAAAUCCUCUGGGCUAAUACCCCGGGGGGAUGACGGUACCGGAAGAAUAAGCACCGGCUAACUACGUG